AUUUUUUCCUUUUCCCUGUAUUACUUCUCUGAUAUUUUUGCAUAUUACUAUGUAAAGAAGAAAUUGAACCACACGACUGUAUUAAAGUGACACUAGAGGCUGAAUCAAAACCACAAAAGCCAGGAAAUUUAGAGCUAAAUCAGAAACUCUUAUCUUUGCCUCAUCCUACAGUGCCUUAAUACUGCAGGGAUCUCAGCACAGUGAUCUUACAUAUCAUAUAUGCUCUAAUAAAUAGGUUCAAUGGGUUGAGAAAAGGGCAGAGUUUAAGCAUUAACUCAGAAUUUCGUUGCUCUGAUGGCUUCAAGUCAAUCCCUUAAGGUUACUUUAACAUGGUUUCUGGCAGUUCAAUAAAAUCUAUGGCCAAUGUUACAACUCCUCCCUUCCUAAACGAACCAAAAAUCUCACUCCGAUUUACAUAAGAAAUUAUGGGGAACCCUGGAACUGCGAGGGGAUGAUAAAAGCUCCAGGCUUGAUUUCCCAAGUAUCCACACCUACCAUUGACUUUGGUAGCACAGGCCCUCACGCAAAUCUCAAAAAGUAAAACUGGCAAACACAUCGCCACACAUGCUUACUGCUCAGCCCAGGAACAUUUAGGACUGAUAGGAGUUUACAAUACAAAGCUGCGAGGUGUAUCUAAAAAAAAUGCCACAGAAAUCAGACGACACAAAGAAUUCGAAUACUUUCCUUUUGUUAAGGUACAGUAACUGAGAACACAAUGAAAUACUUCAUGUUCAGUAUCUCCCAUUAGAUCAAUUAAUAUUCAGAGAAAGCCUUUAACAUGAAGUUUAAAUAAUCAUAGAAGGAGAAAAAGAACCACCAAUGUUCUAGAAGCUUCUCUAGACCUUUCAAUCAAUUUUAUUUAUAUGCAAAACCAAGAGAAACUCAGAAAAAACAAAGCUCCUCCUGAUGCUAAAGCUCUCAAUUUACUGACAGGCAAAUGGCUUCAUGCUGCCACUUAAUCUCAUUUCUUGCAUAAUGCCCUCUAAUUAGCAUAUCAAAGUGAAUUAAUACUUCUAGGGCAUUAGCAAUGGGAAAAUCUGCUCCAGGCUUCACAAUAGCAGUUAAGCAAGAGCCAAGAAAUCCUCAAAAACACCACAAACCACUUUGCAUUGCAAAACUGUUCAAUUUAUUUAUCCUCUCUCUCUAAACACUUUUACCGCACACUGUUUUACUACUGUUCACCAAACAAAAUGAUAAUUGCCAAAGUUACCAGCAUCUGUAAUGCCUGUUUAGAAUCUUAAUUUAGAUUAUGUAGCUGAAUAUAUCUAGAUGCUUUCAUUGGCUCUGUCAUAAAUGUAAACGUAUACUGCCCAAUGGUUAUGCUUUCCAGCCUUUUUUAAUGCAAGGAAAUGUUAUUUUUUACCUGUAAUAAAUUAUUAAAAAUUAAAUCAUACAUGAAAAAGCCACCUGCUGGACAAUGCAGACUCACAGAUUAGCUUUAAAAGUUGAUGCAUGAUAUAAAUAUACAAAAGGUUUUGACCUGUAAACAUAUAAUAGAGAACACCUCCCAAAAUGAUUGAUUUGUUGUACUGUAGAACCCACAUUGUUCAAUAAUUCUUAGACAGCAUUGCUAGAACAAUUUAAUGACUGAACAAACUGAAGUUGGAUUUCUCUUAAACAAAGGAAUUAAAUUUAAAAAAAAAACAAACGAGAUAAAAGAAAAAUAAAUACAUAAUGAGUCUGUGCAUAUGACCGUGUGCAACAUAGGUUCUUUUUAUCAAACUCCUUCUGCAUGCAAUAAAUAAACAUUGCAAUAGAUGCUCCGUCAGCCAAUGAUCCUUUUUUUCUUCAAACAAAAAUUCAUUGUCUGUUUUCAAUCGUAGGUCAUUUCGUUUGCAAAAUAUAUGCCAUAAUUAAUAACUGAGGACUGAAGAGAUAAAAAAUGUAAUCAUUUCAAUUAUCUACAGAAGAGUCUUUCAAAACUAAGCUACAAAAGGAAGAAAAAAAAGCAGGCUAGUAAGCAUAAUCUAAACCUCUAAACCUACGGAGAGAGUAUAAGCUCAUAUGUAAGGCUAAUGACAAGAAGAGGAAGAAAAUGUCAGGUUAGCUGGUGUUUGAUGUUUCUACUUAUGGUAUACAAAUAAUAAGAAUAAAGUUCUGGGAAAAUAAAUUAAAUUACUACAGAUAUUUAUGUAGCAUUUUCCACCUUUCUAAAAUGUGCAUUCUUGCUGUUGAAAAAAAAAAUACUCAAGCAUCCAGCUUUAUUUCCCCUCACAUGCAACUCCCCUGUUUGUUUACUCAUGCUGUAAAGAUAACACUGCAGAACAGCUCUACAGUCUGGCGGAAAAGCCUAAUUCAUCAGUUUGGUUGAUGAAGUACUCUAACUUUAUAAAAGCAGGGACUAUAAGAGCUGACAGAAACUUUAAUAAUUUAUAUUAAAUAUUGAUGUGAAUUAUUUACUCCAUUCAUACUUAAAGACACGAACUGCCUACCAGAGAAAAGCAAAUGUGACAAAAGGUCAACAUGAUGGUGAAAAAAGGCAGGCUGUGUCAGGCAUGUGUUAUCUGAACCAUGCUGAUCACCUUGAUAAGCGAAUAGCAUUAAACAUGACUGCUGAGAAAACAAACAAAGCAUUCUUCUCAUGGUGUCAAUUCAUAGAAUACAAACAACUACAUCUAAUUCCAUCAAUUAUACAAGAAGAGGAAAACUUCCCUCCGAAUCCCUAUUUAUUUUGACUUGCUAGUAUGCAAAAGUAGUAUUAAUUCUUAAACAUAGUCAGCCAACCAUCACAUAUAUGACUCAGAACUGUAAAAUACUCUAACGAUAUAAAAAUACAUACAAAUGAAACUAUUUCACUUUCCUAUGUUACUAUUAACAUACAUUGCACAGAUAUUUAAUUUUUAUUAUAUUUAGAAUCCGUUUAAUUUGGAAUAUAUUUGUCUAAGCUUGACUGCAAAUAUCAUUACAAUAAUGUUUCACACAAAUCAAUAUUUAAAUUGAAUAUAGUAUAAUAUCCAUAUCAUGGAAGUUUGUUUCUUUCAUUGAAAGCUGAAGGAAUUGAGCAAACAAAUCUAUUAAAUCUGUAAAAUAAAGGAUGGUCUAGCUUGCAUCAUUACCUACCAUUAUAUUAAUUUAUUCUUGAAUUGGCAAAAAUGAUUUGUUACAAUAAACAUCAUGAUAUAAACCAGGUGGUACCUCACAAUCAUCUAAAAAUAUUUAGAAGUAAGCAAGCCUGUUUCAAAUUCAAGAAUAAAAUUAAGCCCACUAAAAAUGAGGCAGAAAAUAAAAGAAUUACCUGCUCCUACUUGGUUAGUAUUGACAACCAAGUCUAAUUUUAUGUUAUAUGCAGGGCAAAAAAAUGGACUGGAAACAGAGAACCCUGUAAUCAAGUUGCAGCUUGUUAUUUAAAUAUAUCAAGGAGCACUAAAAUGGCUUGGCAUAAAGGUAGUAUGUAGUAACAGGUCUUCUAAGACAUAAUGUAAUGCAUUUUUUCUUUUUGUGGCUGAAAACAACCACAAGAACUGCCCUAUUUUCUUAGCCAAAAAAACAGAAAAAAAUCUCACUUUUAAAGCACCACCAUGGAGAUAGUAUUUUCUCUCUCUAAAUGCAUGCUUGAAACAGAUGACAAACUGACAAUCAUAUACUUCAUUCAAUUUAAUUUUUACUAGUAAAACGUUUAUGAGGAAAAGUGAUGUCAUUACCAUUAGGGUGGUGAAACUCGCUUAACAUUCUAAUCACUUGGAGUAUGUUUAAUGUCAAUUUUUAAAUAUAUCAUUCAAAAUUUUAGUUUAUUAUUAUUUUAAAAAUCUAAAUGUUAAAACCACAUAAAAAUUAAAACAAAAAGUGAGCAAUCCUAAAUAAAGAUGGAGAUUUUUUAAUACACACUGUCUAUUUUCUGUUCUAGUCCAGGUACAUUAAAAAUUAGAAAAGCAUCUUUACAAGAACAUCAGUAUUGAAUAUUAAUAUAUACUUAAAAAUAGCUCAAUUUAAUAAAAACAGCAUCAGAAUUCAUAGUUAAAAAUACCUACAAUAUAUAAAUUAAAAUUAUGUCAUUUCACUGUUUCACAUUAUUUAUCCUUCCAAGUUCAGUUAAAGACUGUUUCAUUGUAUUCCAAAUUGUUGAUGUGACAUGACAGUUUGCAAACACUGAAAAGUUGAAAUUAAUAUAACGUAAGGAAACAACCUGGUAACCCAGGUUAAAAAUAACCUACUCCAAAUGAGAAAGGGAUUCAUAUUUUCAUAUUCUUACUGCAAGCAACGGGAUAGGUGGAGGGAGGGAGGGACUGUAGGUCUUUCGAAUACUGGUUACCUAAUGGGCAGUUUAAGGAUUUCACAACAUACUGACCAGGGGUGCUCAUAAACACCUCAGAGUUGGGACACAUACCUCACUAGGGAGUUAUGCUGAGAGUGAGGACAUGUUCUAGCUCUUUAAUCAUUAGAGUGGCAUUCUAUGGCUGGUUUUAGUUGUAGCAAUAAAAAAAAAAAAAAGGCUUCUAGCUUACAUGGCGAACAGCAAGAAAUUAAUCUCAUGGUUAACUUCACUCUUCAUCUGUUUUUCACAUCUAAAUUUUUUCACUCUAUGAAAUAAAACUCUGCACGAGGGCAGAAGAUCUUUAAUGAUCAUUUUCUUCCUCUCUCUUUAGACAUAAAAAAUAGUUCAACCAGCCCAACCAGCCAAGCAGGCCUUUCUCUUCCCCUGCGGACACCUCCUGCAGUCGAGAAGUUCAUUAAGUUUUAUGAUCUUCCCAAGUCAGUCCUGCUUAUAUGCCUCACAAAGGCCACAAAUCUGGCAAACCAUCAUGUAUGCCAUUAGGCAUUACUAGUAAAUGAAUGCUAUUUAGGGUUUGUGGUGACAGUAAAUUAGGGUUUGGUUGGCAGCUGUCAUUGUUUGGGGUGAAUCUUUUUUAAAACAUCAAAUUUAAAAAAAAAUGAAGUCAAGAAAACAUGAUGUUACAGAUUAUCCACCAGUCCAGUCCAGAACUCAAUAAACACAACAUUCCACUGGGAAAUAACUGCAAUUCCCUAACCAAUUUAAGACCAUAAGAAUUAAUAUAUUUUCAUUUGCAUCAGCAUGAGUAAACAUAGUACUUCAGGUACAGAAACGUACUGGAGUGUAGGGGAAAUCAGACUGUGAAUCUAAGGGUUUUUCUGACAGUAAAUAAUGGACAUACAAAAACCAUAUGUGUGCAUAAGUAUUUGUUAUCUACUGGUAGGCAGAUAAAAAGACAGAUUAAUGCCAAGGUAUGCAACAGAUGCGACUCAGCAUUAAAAGUACUACUAAAGAUUUUAAAGUAAUGUUAAUGGAAGAGACACAGAUAAAAAUCUAAUAUAAGGGAGUUGCUAGACUGAGUGAUCUUUCUUAUUUCCAUAUUUUACUAAGAUGACUUCAGGAAAACUUUGAGGUUCAUUUUUCUUUGUUGUAAUUAAAUAAAUAAGUGGCAGUUCGUAAAGUAUCUUUAUGAAAAACCCUGGUACCUGGUGGUUGUCUCUAGGAAAGGCGAUCUGGGUAUAUCAACACUUAAGAAAAAACGAUAGUUUAGCAAACACUGUUUUUUAAACUUCAAAAUAAAUUACAGGUUAGAUUUUGUACAGCUGGUGAAUUCCUUUAAACGCAAGAAAUACCUCACUGAAAAAAAAAAACCCUCUUCAGUUCCUCAUCCCUGAGUAAAGGAGAAAAUCUUUAAUAAAUGUAAUGCAUCCACUAAUCCUGGAGGGAAAUGUGCAGGGGAUCUGCUAUGUUUGCCUCACCUGAAAAUGGGGGCUCCAGCAAACAUUCUCCAUCUACUGAAAUAAGGAAGUCCUCCCUGGCUGCACUGAACACCAGUGGAGUACUGGAAAUGAAUGCAAGUAAAUACAAAAAGUAACUUGUGGUUGCAUUACUUAUUUCAUGAAAAGUGAUUGAUAUUACACUUUAUGCAUGGGCAAGAUUCUCUUUUAAACCUGGUACUGAUAAAGUCAUCAUAGUAAUUCCUGUUACUAGCACCAAGGUACACUUUGCCUCAGACAAUGAAGAAUUAAAUACAGAAGCACAUUCCAGUUGCAACUAAACUAGAUUAUCUAGAGUAAAAUCCAGUGAAGACAAACUGGAGGGGAAAAAAACCUCUAACUGCAUCCCAAGCUGUUCACCCUACAAGUUCAGAAGUCUCUGGAAAACAAUGACUAUUUGCACUGUUUCUCAUGGAUACAGAUGAGAGAAAAUAUGCUAGAUUUUGCUUUCACAUUUGCUUUGCGUUGGUAACACUUACUGAAGUCUAUACAGCCAUUUCAUCUCAACUAGGAGAUCCUGAGUGAAUGUCCCCCUAUGGGAACAGUUUUAGAGGGGGUGGAUUCAUCUCCAUCAAUCACUCGGUGCAUUAAUCCUAUUCCUCCCGUGUUGCUGGGACUGGCAGGAUCUUGCCUUUGGCCAGACAGACGCCUUCACUCUUUGUUGGUUCUUAGCUAUUUUACAAAAGAGAUAACUUGCAAACUUGGCUCCACUAGUUGGGACACAAAAGCAGGAUCUCAACUUACAAGUUAUCAUUGAAAUAUCCCAAAACAUUUCAAAUCGCAAAAUCUCUUCCCUUCUCUGUUUCCUUCUUGCUUCUGAAGCAGCAAAGGCCUCACUAAACCCCCUCUGCCAGUAAUCCUUGUCUCUGAAAAGACUUGUUUUUCCUUCUCAACUCACCUCUGACAUGCGGUUGACUAUACUUUUCUUUCAAAACAGUGAAGCUAAGCCCUGUGCAAAUAAGCGAUUGCAGGACCUACGCCUGCCUUCUUAAUUGAAAUCUGCCUGCUGCAAAAUGUCUAAACACCAGGGGCAGGUUGCUUAGUUAGCUCUGGAGCUGUCUGGGCAAAAACUUUAGAGAAAGGCAAGAACACAAAUACAAACUGAACAAGGGAAGAAGGGAUCUGAACAGUAAUCAAGGCGAAGUGUGCGUGUAUGGGGGGAAUUAAUCCCCUUAUCCAUAGUAAUAUAAUGCAAUAUAAAGCAGAAUCAAUCUUAAUAUUCACAUCACAGUCAAUACCCUAGUGCUUAGCUGUCAGCAAAAACUGAAGUGGAGCCCUGAUAGAAAGGAAACCCUUGGACAUUAAGCAACAUAAUUUACUGAGAACUAUGCACUUUUAGGCUCCUGAGCUAAGAUUCGCUGUGAUUUCAUGUUUGAUGUCUUAUUCCAUAGCCACAUGCAUUUUUUGUCAUCAAUCUGCAAUUAAAAGGACUAUAAUUUAAUUCCAGAUGUAACUAAAAAGCUAGCCUACCAUUUUGUUUUAACUCAGGCCAUAAGCAAUUUUUUUUUGCUUCUCAUGAAAGAACAUACCAUACUUUGCCAAAUCCUCCUUUCUAAGAAAUUAUUAAUUUUCUCCAUGCCAAAUCAAUGGUGUCAAAGAACACAAAAAUUACUACAACCCUCCAAACACCAGGAGGCAUUUAUUAGUGUGCCUUCUUCAUAUAGCAUAGGGAAAUUAGUUUGUCAACAUCGCUGAGAAAAAAGAUCUGGUGCUUAAAAUAUGACUUCAUAAAAAAGAAUAAAGGCUUUGCUGUUGUCACUACAAGCAAAUAUUGGCACGCAGCUUUCACCACUUUUGCCACCGCUUAACUUCACCCUUAAACAGUCUAAUCGUUAAUACUCUCAAGUCCUUAGCAUCAGAGCGUUUUAGUUUUUGUUAGGUUUUCUCUUCAAAUCAGAUGCGUCCAGAGCGAACAGUAUAUUCAGACAUGCCAAUGCUAACAAAGUUUACUGGUCCCCUUUGCAUGUUCUGUAUUACAGGAAUAAAGUGUUUUUGAAUCGCAUACAUGGUAAAUGUUUGUGAAGUGCUUUGAAGAAUAAAAGCACUAUAUAAGCAUUAGGUGUUGGUGUCAUAGCAGAAACAUCAUUUACCUAGGUUAAGCCCCUAACACACUUGAAUGUGUGGCACAAGCUCAAUGACUAGAUUUCUAAAAACAGCGUCCUUUUAAAAUGGGAUGUACUUCGGCCAUCCAACAGCUGUAAAUCCUUAGUACUAUAAAUAUACACAACUUUGUGGUAUUAACCCCAUCUCCUCCUUUCACUAUUCCCUACUGCUGAAAUCCACUAUUCAGAAAACUUCCAUUUCUUUUAUAUCUUCCUUUUUUUGUUUGUUUGCUAAGCAAGCCAGAUUUCUGCAGACAGAAGGACAUGGCUAGCAUGUUCCAUGCGCAAAACAUAACACUUCCAGAAUAAAGAUGCAAAAAUCUUUGUCAUAAUACACACGAACGUAUGCCUGGGUACACACAUAUUUGUGCACCAUUUCUAGAGACACAUGCAGGUCCCUGAGCAACUCAAAAGGCUCCAGCCCAUUUCCUGCCUGGUCAGGGCUGUGUCCUAUGGCAGAUCCUGCGCUAAUUGCAGGGCUCCACGAGAAGGUGGCCCGAGUCAAAGAGAAAGUUGCCGGCCAGGCUGCUCACUUGCUCUCACUCUGCAAUUGGCUUCUGCAAGCUCCCAUCGCUCCUUUAAGAAGCUGCCACACAAACAAGGCAGCUGCUCUGUUCCUUCCCUGAUUGCAGCCAGAGGGGGAAUGGACUCUGCGGACGGUGACACACGAUCAUUUUCAUCUACAUUUCAUUUUACAUCGGGAUUAUGAAUUGACACUGAACAGAGCAGGCUUCAUCCUGUGGCAGUUCAGUGCAUGCUUUCUGCAAAACAGACAACACAAAACACACGGGCUUUGGUCAGUGAUGGUCAUGAUCUGAUGGAGGAUGUCUCCGAUGUCCUGCUUCCUGCCGUCGCCGUCUGCCCCUUCGUGUCCGUGGG